AAAGAGACAUUGGCUGUGACGUAAAACGCGUCAUUAUCGCUGCUCAUUUGCAUAUUUCAUGCAUGGACAAAAAUGCGUAGUGGUAUCACACACAGUGCCUGGACAUGGAUCAGCAGGACCCUCCAAUUCCUGAAUGGUUCCGGGCAAUGCCUCAUGACCAACAACGACAGGUCGUAACUGAGAAGCUCAUUGGGAGGAUUACAAAACAUAUCGGGGCAGAGUUGGAACUGAAAUGGGCAGCAGAAAUG
rnacentral:misc_RNA from 1 species